rnacentral:misc_RNA from 1 species
AACCUAGCACACCUGCGGUGUGUACCUGCGGAGGGAUCAUUACCGAGUUUACAACUCCCAAACCCCUGUGAACAUACCUAUACGUUGCCUCGGCGGAUCAGCCCGCGCCCCGUAAAAAGGGACGGCCCGCCCGAGGACCCCUAAACUCUGUUUUUAGUGGAACUUCUGAGUAAAACAAACAAAUAAAUCAAAACUUUUAGCAAUGGAUCU